rnacentral:rRNA from 1 species
UGGGGAAUUUUGCACAAUGGGGGAAACCCUGAUGCAGCGACGCCGCGUGAUUUAGAAGGCCUUCUGGUUGUAAAAAUCUUUUCUAUGGGAAGAAAAUGACAGUACCAUAGGAAUAAGGACCGGCUAAUUACGUGCCAGCAGCCGCGGUAAUCCGUAAGGUCAGAGCUUUUUCCGGAAUCAUUUGGCGUAAAGGGUACGUAGGCGGGUAAGCAAGUUAGAAGUGAAAUCCUAUAGCUAAACUAUAGUAAGCUUUUAAAACUGCUCAUCUUGAGGUAUGGAAGGGACAGUGGAAUUCCUAGUGUAGCGGUGAAAUGCGCAAAUAUUAGGAAGAAUACCGGUGGCGAAGGCGACUUUCUGGCCAUAACCUGACGCUGAGGUACGAAAGCGUGGGUAGCAAACAGG